GGGGAUAUAACUAAGUGGUAGAGUGUUUGCCUUGCAUGCAUGAGGCCCUGGGUUCAAUCCCAGCACCA
rnacentral:tRNA from 1 species